AACCUGCCUUUGAGAAGGGGAUAACUGUCCGAAAGGAUAGCUAAUACCCUAUAUUGCCUUUUGUCACUAAGGCAAAAGGUGAAAGCGAGGCUGUCAAAGGCUUCGGCUCAAAGAGGGGUUCGCGUCCUAUCAGGUAGUUGGUGGGGUAAUGGCCUACCAAGCCAAUGACGGGUAGCUGGUCUUAGAGGAUGAUCAGCCACAGUGGGACUGAGACACGGCCCGCACCCCUACGGGGGGCAGCAGUGGGGAAUCGUGGGCAAUGGGCGCAAGCCUGACCCCGCAAUGCCGCGUGAGGGAAGAAGCCCUUCGGGGUGUAAACCUCUGUCAGAUGGGAAGAUGAGACUAGGGGCUAAUACCUCCUGGUCUUGACGGUACCAUCAGAGGAAGGGACGGCUA
rnacentral:rRNA from 1 species